rnacentral:rRNA from 1 species
GAUGAACGCUGGCGGCGUGCCUAAUACAUGCAAGUCGAGCGAACUGACUAUGAGCUUGCUCUGCUACCGUUAGCGACGGACAGUGGAGUAAGAGUUGGAUAACCUUCCGUUAACACUGGGAUAACGUCGGGUAACCGUUGCUAAUACCGGCUAAUAUAUCAUACCUCAUGUUUCAAUAGUGAAGGAGGGUUUUGCUGGCUCUUAUAGAUGUAUCCGCGCCGCAUUAGCUAGUUGGUAAGGUAACGGCUUACCAAGGCAACGAUGCGUAGCCGACCUGAGAGGGUGAUCGGCAACACUGGAACUGAGACACGGUCCAGCCUCCUACGGGAGGAAGCAGUAGGGAAUCUUGGGCAAUGGGCGAAAGCCUGACGGAGCAACGCCGCGUGAGUGAUGAAGGUCUUCGGAUCGUAAAACCCUGUUAUUGGGAAAGAAAAGAAGUAGAAGUAAAUAUGCAUGUCUUGACGGUACCUAAUCAGAAAGCCACGGCUAACUACGUG